AGGAACGUGGUAACCCAGUGGUUAAGGCUUUUAGCUACAGAUCAGAAGGUUAUGAGUUCAAAUCCCAACGCUGCCA